rnacentral:tRNA from 1 species
GGGGGUGUAGCUCAAUGGUGGGACACUUACUUAUAAUGUAUGAGACCUUGGGUUCCAUCCCCAGUGCCACCA